UGUGGUGUUUCAGAGGAUUUAAGGGGAUGCUGUUGUUUUGUGGGUGCUGCAGCUGGCGUUGUGGUUAGAGGGGGAUCUUGUCAGCAGGUCUGGUGCUACCAACUGAAUGCAGAGACCACAGCCAGUGCUGAGGUGGGUAAAGGGUGGGAAAUGAUCAUGCACUUACAUUCCAGAGAAAGCAGAUUCUUGUUCUUCUUCCAGAGCAGUUGCUGUAGGAGAUGGACGCAAAGGGGAGGAAGGCUGAGGUGGGAAUUCACCUGGUCCAGACCCAUCACUGCCCUCGCAGGCCCCAUCUCAGUGGGACAGGAUAGGGCCCUUCUGGCUCACUGAGGAGCAGAGCCUCCCCUACACAGAGCUCUGCAUGUCCUCUUGCAUGCUCAACUCUGGCAUUACCCCUCAAGACAUCUCCACAUGUGUCUGGGUCCUGGAACCUGCAAGUGACAGAGGGUUUCCGUGGGCUGAGCUGACUCGUUUUUCAGUGAUUUGCAUUUGCCACCAGUAGCAGUGAGAUUAAGUCCCACAGUGUCCAUCUUCCUCCUUUGGUGGUACUGCUUCUGCUAGUCCUAAUUCUUCUUGUUGAUCUGCCCACAGGAUAAAAAUAGCAGAAGAAACUUUCCUUGUGUGAGUUUCACUUCAGACUGUUUACAGACUGCUGACAGAGUGGUGGAAGCUAUGUGACCCAAUCCCUUAGGCAGAGUUCCCAGUACUGGUAUUCCUAGGAUGGGAGUGUUGUUCCUGGCUGUGAUGAGAAGGUAGAGAAAUUGGCUUGUGUGGUUUCCUCCCAAGAACUUGAUGCCUCCCUUCUGGGUAACCUUGAGGAAGGUCAGAGCAAAGCUGCAGCCCUGCUUUCUAGCCCUCUCUGACAGCAGAGGUGCUGUCUGGCUUCUGUCUUUGUCUGAAGCCUGGAGUUAUCAACACUUGCACUAUCAGUGAGUGCCCCAACAGCAGAGAAGCACUUACCUUUCCCUCCACUUGCAGAGAUGGACCUGGGAAUUACUGGGUGUCUGAACCUUUCAAGUGACUCAGGAGGUUUAGAGUUUUAGUGCUUUGUCUCUUCUGGUACUACUAAAUUUGGCACUGCUCUGAGUCUUCAUUUGUUCAGCACAAAGGUCAUAGUCAGGAGUCCUGGCAUCUCCAAACUUCUCUUUAACCUGCAAAGCAUUUCAAGGGUCAAGGAGCUAUUCUGUGGGCCUAAGUAUCAAAGAUGGGCUUUGUAGAAUAGGUGAUACUAGUAACAUUCAAGUUACUAACCACUGAUCUAUUGGAUGAUCAGUUUCAGUGCAGGAAACACCCUGUUGGAACUCAGAAGACACAUGAAAUGAAUUUCCUGGUCAGACUUGUUCCUAUGGACACCUUUAAUGCAACUGUGCAUUUCACACCAGCUCAUAUCUUUGCCAUGUCUUUCCCUUCUCCUUUCUGUGCCUGCAAGAUGCUGUAAAAUAAAGCAGUUAUGUAUGGAAUUCCAUAUAUAAUUGAAAAUAAAGUGAGAGAAGGAUUUAAUUUUCAGGGGAAGCAGUUUUCUUAUUCAUGUGCCAUUGUGGACUCAGGGCAUACAGACCUUAGAUACAGGGUAUGCACUCCUUAGAUGCUCGAGGCUUGUUUCCUAAUCCUGCAUCUAGGGAGCUCUUCUUGACAUCUUCACCAUCCAAGGCACAUGGAAUUCACCAGGUGCAUGGUGGCAGUGUGCCAGUACAAGGUCCUGUCCCUUUGACCUGGACAGAGCUGUAACAGUGUUCAUCCAGUGUGGUGUUGGUUGUGACAGCAGUUUACUGUAGACACGGAAUCCUCUGCUCAAACAGAGCCACUGACAGAGGCAGGAAGGAUCAGUCCUGCAGCAGCCAGCACAGCUCUCAUGAAAGUUGUGGUGAUAGACAUCAGCUCAGUAAGAUCUUAUCACUUCCAUUUAAAAA